CUCAUCUGGCUCUUCAGUGUCAGCACAAGGCAGCUGAGCCUCAGUUCAGAGCCUGCAUUAUGAGCGGCAAUGGUGGAGUCCCCCCUCCCAGCACAGACACACGCAAACACACACACACACAUACACAUACACAGCUCAGCCUCCUGCAAACUCCACUCCUUAGGAGAACAAUUCCGUGGCAUUGUUAAUGUCUCAUGUCGCCUGACUGAGGGGAGCCAUAUGUUUGUUUUGCUGUCAUUAAAUGCUUCUUCCGUUCUUCCCAAAUAGUGGAAUACCUAAUCAGUGUGGAUUUUGAGAAACUUGACAGUGGGGAUUCUAUCCUCUCCAAAAGAUGUGAAGAAAACCAACAAAAUAAGGGAAGAAGCAAAGGAUCUUUACAGGACAACACGUUUUAAAGACAUUGAAGAAUCUCUGCUUGUCUUUGAAAUGAAGUUUAGUAUACAAUGUGCUCAUACUAAUGAAGCAGAAAAAAAUGUUGUUGACACUUAGCUCUGACAAUGCAUUGUGGUUCCAAGACCAGAUAUGAAUAGUAGGGUACUGACUAUAAAACA